rnacentral:lncRNA from 10 species
AGCUCACUGUAACCUCGAACUUCUGUGCUCAAGGAAUCCUCCUGCUUCAGCCUCCCAAGUAGCUAGGACUACAGGGAAUAAUGGACAUCAACUGACCAGAAGAAAGACUUAACAUUCACCAAUACUCAACCUAUGCCACCCUCUGACCCAACAAUAAUUCACAUGCUGCUUCUCUAGCAGUGUUAGGUAAUCAUCUAAGGGAUGGUGGCUGUAGCCUCUGCUUUGUUUACCCAAGACUCAGACAAGUCAGAAUAUAACUGAAGAACGAAUAGGUGUACCCAUCAGGAAAAUUAUUUGCAUAAAAGACCAAGGUACUAUCUGGGGAGAUGAAAAAUAAGGAAAACAACAAAAAAUAACAAAAAUCACAUUUCACUCACAGGAAUGAGAGAGUGAAGACUACAGAUUUGAUCUGGCUAAUCACUCAGGAUCACAGGAAAGGUCUGUUCAGAUUCACAACAGUCCCUGAGUCGAAGGUCCUGGUGCUAUGAGCAAGAAAUGAUGGGGCUC